UACGUAGGGUGCAAGCGUUGUCCGGAAUUAUUGGGCGUAAAGAGCUCGUAGGCGGUUUGUCGCGUCUGCUGUGAAAACUCGGGGCUUAACUCCGGGCCUGCAGUGGGUACGGGCAGACUAGAGUGCGGUAGGGGAGACUGGAAUUCCUGGUGUAGCGGUGAAAUGCGCAGAUAUCAGGAAGAACACCGGUGGCGAAGGCGGGUCUCUGGGCCGUAACUGACGCUGAGGAGCGAAAGCGUGGGGAGCGAACAGG
rnacentral:rRNA from 1 species